UCUUCAUUUAUCGUGCUCUCUCACCGGUCAGACACGCGAGAUAGUGUGUGACAUGAAGAAA
rnacentral:pre_miRNA from 1 species